rnacentral:rRNA from 1 species
UACGUAGGGACCAAGCGUUGUUCGGAUUUACUGGGCGUAAAGGGCGCGUAGGCGGCGCGGUAAGUCACUUGUGAAAUCUCUGAGCUUAACUCAGAACGGCCAAGUGAUACUGCAGUGCUAGAGUGUGGAAGGGGCAAUCGGAAUUCUUGGUGUAGCGGUGAAAUGCGUAGAUAUCAAGAGGAACACCUGAGGUGAAGACGGGUUGUUGGGCCAACACUGACGCUGAGGCGCGAAAGCCAGGGGAGCAAACGGG